rnacentral:rRNA from 1 species
CCCUUAGAUGUUCUGGGCCGCACGCGCGCUACACUGACGAAGGCAACGAGUCCCUUGGCCGGAAGGUCCGGGUAAUCUGCUAAACUUCGUCGUGAUGGGGAUAGAUUAUUGCAAUUAUUAAUCUUCAACGAGGAAUUCCUAGUAAGCGCGAGUCAUCAGCUCGCGUUGAUUACGUCCCUGCCCUUUGUACACACCGCCCGUCGCUACUACCGAUUGAAUGAUUUAGUGAGGACUUCGGACUGAGUCCAAUGCGGCUUUCGGGCUGCGUUGGUAUUUCGGAAAGAUGUCCAAACUGUAUCAUUUAGAGGAAGUAAAAGUCGUAACA